rnacentral:lncRNA from 1 species
GGCUGGUGAUGUCACUCAAUGGUUAAGUACUCCUGGAUUAAAUCUCCAGUACCAAAAAAAAAAAAAGAAAGUGCUAGGUUUAAAUGAAAAUAUGUAAAACAUUGGAAAUGCCAAGUUUUAACACUUAACUGUAAAAGAAAGUUUUCUUUAAAUGUAUAGGAAGUUUGGAUACUCAGCACUAGACUUAAAGCAAAGUGGUACAUUUAAAAACAAUAAUUUUAAAAGGCUGGGUUUGCCCAUGGAAAGCCUAUGGUGGUAGAGAUAGAAAUUACUGCAAGAAUAAAAAGUAUGCACAUAUAUUAAUGAAUUACACAUUAGUGCCAGGAAGACCAAUCACAUGACAUUCUUUAUCAAAGAAUCACUGGGAAGUACCAGGAUAAUCAGUGAACUACAGAAAAAUAGUCCUUCAAAAUAAAUAAGCAUGGAAUAUGAAAUCUGGAUACUCUUACCUGACUAAAUGAGUGAUCAUACAUCAACACAUCUAUUUAAGGAACCAAAACACAUUUGGUUUUUGUAGGCUCCCAAACCCACAAAUCUCGUUUACCCUGGAAUCGAAUCUGGUUGACUUUGUUUAAAGGAAAAGAGCAACUAUGGGUGUGUAGCUCAGUGGUAGAGCACUUCCCUAGCACAUGGGAACUUCUAGGUUCAAUGCCCAGCACCAAAAAUAAGGGGAUUUUGUCUUUUGUUUACUUUUGGUACAGGAGCUUUAACCCAACAUUGCUUUACCACUGUGCUACAUCCCCAGCCCUUUUUGUUUUUUAUUUUGAGAAUCUCUCACUAAGUUGCUUAGGGGUUUCACUAAAUUGCUGAGGCUGUCCUUGAACUUGGGAUCCUUUUGUCUCAGCCUCUAGAGCCCCUGGGAUUACAGGUGUGCACCUCUACGCCUGUCAAAAAUAAGGGGAUUUUGGGCUGGGAUAUAGUUCAGUGGCAAAGUCCUGGGUUUGAUCUCCAGUUCCAAAAAGGGUUAGGGAGAGGUUAAAAAGGAGAUGUAUCUGGGUGUGGUGGUGCACAUCUAUAAAUAAAUCCCAGCAACUCAAGAGGCUGAGACGGGAAGACCACAUGUUCCAGACCAGGCUUGGCAAUUUAGCAAGACUCAAAAAAUAAAAAGGACUGGAGAUGUGGCUUAGUGUGUAAAGCACCCCUGGGUUCAAUCCCCAGAGCCAAAGUAAAGGGGGAAUGCAUAUUGUAACUUGCAUAUUUAUAAGCUUAUAUGUUUAUCCAGGUUGUGAUUAUUUCCUUCAGACAUUGAUUACUGAC